rnacentral:rRNA from 1 species
GAUGAACGCUGGCGGCGUGCCUAAUACAUGCAAGUCGAACGGAGUAGCAAUACUCAGUGGCGACCGGGUGAGUAACACGUAGCUGACCUGCCCCUCGGCGGGGGACAACAGGCCGAAAGGCUUGCUAAUACCGCAUGAUUUUAUGGUGAAUAGAUAGCCAUGAAUAAACUUCAGGGGUCGAGGGAGGGGGCUGCGGCCCAUCAGGUAGUUGGUGAGGUAAAAGCUCACCAAGCCGACGACGGGUAGGGGGCCUGAGAGGGUGAUCCCCCACACUGGA